CUGCUGUGGCUGAGCCUUGGGGUGAAGACAGGCAGCUGCUCCCAACCCCAGAACCUUUGCUGUCUUGGGACGGAUCACCACUGCAAGAGGGGAAGUUGCUACUGUGAUGAAUUCUGCCAUGUGGCACCAGACUGCCACCCAGACCACAGUGUCCUCUGCAACCCUGCUUCUCAGAUGACCAAGAUGGUGCUGCAGAUGGUGCUGAGGAUGGAGAACCCACCAAGCCCCGCUAGGAGCCACCUAGACUGGAUGCAGAGCAUGAUUUGAAGAUUGUACCAGGAGAGCCGCAGUGUUCCAGAGCUACUGAGGGGGCUGGGCUGGGAUUUGCUGUAUUCGAGAAGACCCCCUUGGACCCGAGAGGCUGUGGGCUUGGGGAGCAUGAGGAGGUUUCACAGCAGAAAGGACACCCCGGGGCUCCUGGAUAAGCCAGAAAAUGUGCCAGGGGAAGUCGGGCUCCAAGGGCACCACUCUGGGCUUCCAGCUGUGUGGGCUGGACCAAGAAGG
rnacentral:sRNA from 1 species